CUUCCGUUAGGGUGACCUGCGGAAGGAUCAUUACCGAGUGAGGGCCCUCUGGGUCCAACCUCCCACCCGUGUUUAUUUUACCUUGUUGCUUCGGCGGGCCCGCCUUAACUGGCCGCCGGGGGGCUUACGCCCCCGGGCCCGCGCCCGCCGAAGACACCCUCGAACUCUGUCUGAAGAUUGUAGUCUGAGUGAAAAUAUAAAUUAUUUAAAACUUUCAACAACGGAUCUCUUGGUUCCGGCAUCGAUGAAGAACGCAGCGAAAUGCGAUACGUAAUGUGAAUUGCAAAUUCAGUGAAUCAUCGAGUCUUUGAACGCACAUUGCGCCCCCUGGUAUUCCGGGGGGCAUGCCUGUCCGAGCGUCAUUGCUGCCCUCAAGCACGGCUUGUGUGUUGGGCCCCGUCCUCCGAUCCCGGGGGACGGGCCCGAAAGGCAGCGGCGGCACCGCGUCCGGUCCUCGAGCGUAUGGGGCUUUGUCACCCGCUCUGUAGGCCCGGCCGGCGCUUGCCGAUCAACCCAAAUUUUUAUCCAGGUUGACCUCGGAUCAGGUAGGGAUACCCGCUGAACUUAAGCAUAUCAAUAAA
rnacentral:rRNA from 1 species